rfam:Flavobacterium sp. LM5 Flavobacterium_sp_LM5_contig1, whole genome shotgun sequence.
UUUUUGCGUUAGGGAUGGUAGUGGCAUCCUUUACUGCCGGGGUUCGGCAGUAAAGAUAUAACGUACAGCCCGGCCCUUG